rnacentral:miRNA from 1 species
AACAUGGCGUUUUGGUAAGA